UACGAGGGGUGCGAGCGUUAUUCGGAAUUAUUGGGCGUAAAGGGUGUGUAGACGGCUUAUUAAGUCAUUUGUGAAAUUCUUCGGCCUAACCGAAGGAGGUCAAGUGAUACUGAUUCGCUUGAGGGUGGAAGAGAGAAGUGGAAUUCUCGGAGUAGCGGUAAAAUGCGUAGAUCUCGAGAGGAACACCGAUGGCGAAGGCAGCUUCUUGGUCCAUGCCUGACGUUGUGGCACGAAAGCGUGGGGAGCAAACAGGAUUAGAUACCCUGGUAGUCCACGCCGUAAACGAUGAUCACUAGACGUUAGUUCUGUUUUACAGAAUUAGUGUCGUAGCUAACGCGUUAAGUGAUCCGCCUGGGGAUUACGGUCGCAAGACUAAA
rnacentral:rRNA from 1 species